rnacentral:rRNA from 1 species
UACGGAGGGUGCAAGCGUUGUUCGGAUUUACUGGGCAUAAAGAGCACGUAGGCGGCUCGCUUAGUCAGGUGUGAAAGCCCACGGCCCAACCGUGGAACUGCAUCUGAUACUGGCGAGCUUGAGGAUGGAAGGGGUGAGUGGAACUCCAGGUGGAACGGUGAAAUGUAUAGAUAUCUGGAGGAACACCGGUGGCGAAAGCGGCUCACUGGUCCAUUUCUGACGCUGAGGUGCGAAAGCUAGGGUAGCGAAC